GAGAUGCCGAAGAACAAGGGAAAGGGCGGUAAGAAUCGCAAGAGAGGGAAGAACGAUGCUGUUUUUGAUGAGAAGCGUGACCUCGUGUUCAAAGAAGAUGGGCAGGAAUAUGCUCAGGUUUUGAGGAUGUUGGGGAAUGGCCGAUGUGAAGCCAUGUGCAUCGACGGCGUCCAGCGUCUCUGCCAUAUCCGUGGUAAAUUGCAUAAAACGGUCUGGAUCGCCGCCGGUGAUAUCAUCCUCGUCGGUCUCCGUGACUACCAGGUAUUAAUAUAUUAUUAUUUGUGUGAAUUAGUGUUUUGAUUUUUCUAUUUUGAAGAAAUUGAGAUCUUAGGUUAAAUUAGUUUUGGCUGUGUGUAGUAUUUGGUGAAUUUAUGGAUCAAUAUGGUGUCCUUUUUUGCGUUUUCUCUUUUCAAGUUGUUCAUUAAUUUUUAUGCAGUCUCAAACUGAGUUUUUUACUUCUAUGGAGCUCAACGGCUACCAUGAAGUAAACAAAUUGCACUUUUGAAUUCAUAUAUAAUAUAACUUCUCUGCUUGUGGUUAUUGAAUAUUCUAGCUUUAUAAAUCUUUUAAGUAUCUGGGAUUUUUUUUUUUUAUAUAGAUUUUGCGAAAUGAAAUCAAUCUUUUAUCAGGGAAGGAUUUUCUGAGUUUUCUAAAUACUGCAACCAUCAGUUUUAGUUUUUCCAUUAAUGAUCAAAGAAGGAUAUUAGCAAAUAAAAGUACGCGUUUAAAGAAACUGGAGAAAUAUAUCAGCCCCUUAAUUGAAUUUCUUGUUUUGGUCGAAUAUAAAUGAAAGAAUUUUCCGAAUUCAAAUUCUGAAGAUUCACUUGUUUGUUUCCCAUAGGACAAAAAGGCUGAUGUAAUCCUGAGGUACUUCGCAUAUGAAGCCCGGUUGUUGAAGGCCUAUGGCGAGCUGCCGAAUAGCAUAAGGAUCAAUGAGGGUAUUGCUGGUGAGCUGCCGGAUAGCACGAUGAUCAAUGAGGAUAAUGGUGAUUACAUUGAGUUUGAAAAUCCGGAGACUUCGUACGUAAGAGGUUUGUCACUCUUUGUUCCCUCCCAAUUUAUAAUACUUUCCCUUCGCUACAAGUAAAAAGCCGACCGAUAAUAAAAGUAUGUUUAAAAUCCGAAUAUAUACAUCUUAUGUGUAACCCAUUUGCAAAACAUGGUGAUAGCGAGUGAGAAUUUGGUUCUGCAUUGGCCUCUGCGGCUAAAUGUUAAAGGCUAGUACUCGACCAGUCUUUAGCCGACCUUAAAGAGGAGACGAGAUAGACAUCAGGAGAAGCAACACUAUUUGUGCUCAGUUGAUGCUUAUCAACCUUGUUCAAGAACGGUAAUGACUUUAAAAGUGAUGGCUAGAAACAAGAUUUUGGGGGCUAGAAAUUUUUUGCUUUCCUUAAGGAGUUCCAGUUCGUAUAGACGACUAGAUAAAACAUACAUCAUUGUUGAGGAUGAGAAAUAAAACAGGAACAUAAACGAGCUCGGGUGAAUUGGACCAAAUAAAAUAUAUAAUAUAUACGUUCCACAAAAAUAGAUUUGUUUUCAUUUCCCCAGAGAUUAAGAAAAUAUAUAAUUAACAUGGUUGAAAAUAUAAAUUUUUUCUCACACUUUUUUCUAAUAUAUCUCUCUAUUAGAUGAUGGUUUAAAUUAAGCCUGGGCAUUUUAACCAAAAUGAAUCUCCGAACGAGAACCAAAGAUUCAGGUUUGGUUAAAAAAAAAAAAAAAAUCGGAAUCGAGGACCGAUGGGGUCCGAGUCGAUUAUUGGUCCCUGAACCAAAAUCAUGGAUAUUUGAAUGGAAUCGAUUUUUUUAUAUAAUUUAAUUUUUAGAUUGGGUAAAAAAAAAUAAAAAAUAUAUUAACUUAAAAAUCCAAACUUUGGCAGUAAUUUGCCUAAAUUUCUAAUUUUAAGAAAUCAAGACUAGCUCCUACUUUUUGUCUCUCGCCUAACAUGAAAUUGUUGCAUUUCAAAAGUUUAUACAUGUUAAUCUUUACAAUUUGAGUUUUCUAUGAAUCAUAAAGUUCAAGCUAGGUUGAGGUGCAAAUUCAUGUAUCAAAGCGUUCAUUUUUUUUUAGUUCUAGCUUUUUACUUUUUUCUUUACUUCUUUAGAGGGAAGAACGAUGCUGUUUUUGAUGAGAAGCGUGACCUCGUGUUCAAAGAAGAUGGGCAGGAAUAUGCUCAGGUUUUGAGGAUGUUGGGGAAUGGCCGAUGUGAAGCCAUGUGCAUCGACGGCGUCCAGCGUCUCUGCCAUAUCCGUGGUAAAUUGCAUAAAACGGUCUGGAUCGCCGCCGGUG
rnacentral:lncRNA from 1 species